CUAGUACGUUUUUCUAAACUCGUACUCCUUGACAAAUGAGUGAUAUCACGUCACCUUGACAAUGGUUUACGGAAAUACAUAAUGCAACGUCGUGGAAGGUUUUUUAUAGUUAACGUCGAAUAACGUCAAAAGUAUUCAAAAUUACGGCUAUAAUUACCCAGGUGAAACCAAUGCAGGCGAUGGCUCCGCUUAACAUAUCUGCAACGAUCGAUGGAUAGGAGUUGGCAGUGGGGAAAUAGGCAUGGAAACGUGGG